rnacentral:lncRNA from 1 species
GUGCACAUGACUAUUGUUGAGGACAUGGUGUUCUUUUUGGCACGCCCAAGUAUUGGGUGAUACUUGCCUGCAUGGUUACUGCAGCUCCAGUUCAGGUGGGCACUCUAGCCCCUCCUCCGCCCUACAUGCAGGUACACCCUUUCAUCGGUACCUACUUGGACACACAAAAUAUGAGUAGAUACAAUUGACUUCUUCUUAUAUUAUGUUGCCAGCUUCAUCUGUUUUGAUCAUUAGAAUAUUGCCUUCAUACUAUCUAAUUUCUGCAGUUAAGAUGCUCUUGACUAACCAGAAAAGUUCUUUUGAGUUCCAUACGUUGAGUAGAACAUUUCAAUCUGUCAUUGAGUUAGCUAUAUAAUUCCGUGAUAUCAUUUCUGUACUGUGAUAGUUUCUCAUAUUUUUCUAUUAUACUUGUAUACAUUAUUCCUAUCUGAAGUCAUCAGCUGAGAUGUUGGAAACAUUCCAGCCAUGUGUUGCUUCCUUUUUCAUGCUUUGCUAAUAUAGAUCAUUUGCUUGAACUCAGAUGGUUGGUGUAUUUGUGCUUAUAAUUAUGCUUCUAUGUGGUUGUUGCAGCAUGAGCCAACCAAAAUAAACAUUUUGUGCCUUGAUCUAGCUCUAAAAGUGUGGUGUUACCUCUCUUUACAGGAGCUCCGGGCUGAAGAAAUUUGAAGAAGCUUGAAGCCCGACAAAGUAAAGAGUAGCGAGUUAUAAUGUAGUGCUAGUUAGGUUGUACAGUGGCCAGCAUAUCUGGUUGUAUGAAC